AUUGUUCCCGAAGGUUCUCCCAUAAUGAAGACGUUUGGUUUUAUCGAUUUUCUCAUAUUUUUCCCUACUUUUUGAUGUAUUUUCUUGACAACAGAGCUUCCCACCUUAACAGUGACACAUUUGGACGCUUUUAACUUUUUAUGAGGGGGUUCAGCUUGGAGUGCGCUCUGUCCCGGCGGCAGGAGAGGAGACCGGGAGUCCUGGAAAAAUAAAGACAGGGGCUCCAGUCUCUGGGCUUUAAAAGGCGGCUGUAGGAAAUUCCACGGCUUGGGGGACCGGAGCGGAGACCGACCCGUGUGCCGAG